rnacentral:rRNA from 1 species
GUGCCAGCAGCCGCGGUAAGACGUAGGGGGCGAGCGUUGUCCGGAAUUACUGGGCGUAAAGAGCACGUAGGCGGGUAUUUAAGUCAGGUGUGAAAGACCGGGGCUCAACUCCGGGGUUGCACUUGAAACUGGGCAUCUUGAGGGCAGGAGAGGAAAGUGGAAUUCCUGGUGUAGCGGUGAAAUGCGUAGAUAUCAGGAGGAACACCGGUGGCGAAGGCGGCUUUCUGGACUGACCCUAACGCUGAGACGCGAAAGCGUGGGGAGCAAACAGGAUUAGAUACCCUGGUAGUCCACGCUGUAAACGAUGGAUACUAGGUGUGGGAGGUAUCGAUCCCUUCCGUGCCGGAGCUAACGCAAUAAGUAUCCCGCCUGGGGAGUACGGUCGCAAGGCUGAAACUUAAAUAAAUUGGCGG